ACAACUCUUAUACAACCACUCUUCUUCUCAAAGUUUCUCGGUUUUCUCACCCUUCGCUCAACUUCUCAUAGAAAUUCUUCAAAUUUUCAAUCUCAAAUUUGUUAAAUCGCUACUCAUAUCACCAACCCUAAUCAAGUAUGGGCUCAAUUUCCUUUUAGAUUGUAUUUUUUUGUCAGAUUUUACCUCUUUUUCUUUCACCCAUUCAUAAAUAUGUAGAAGUUAGAAGCGGUUUGAAGGUUUAAGGCAAAAGAUUCUCGAAAAUCUAUAGAUAUCAGAAGUUGUUUGAAGGUUUUAAGAAGAAAGGUUGGAAGUUUGAUAAUCACUGCGAGCUUUUGAUGUUUUCGAUGUUUUGAAGUUGUUCAAAGGCUUGUAAGGUACCACACAUGUUUUAUCCUAUGCUUGUUUUCCGUAUUUUAUCGAUUCUCGAUUUCCACUGUGUGCUCAUAUUAAUGUAGAGAAAAAUACUUUUUUAUGUUAGAUUUACUUGAAUUUUUUGUAUUGAAAAUGUAUUCUAUUGAAUUUGAAGUAUUUAGUUAUAAGAAAUUUAUUGAAAAAAUUAAUUUUUUGAACAUGUACAUUUGUUCUUCUAAUAUGGACAUGAUUGUCAAUUGUUGUAUCACCAUGUACUAUAGAAGUUCUGCUCAUAUUUUUCAAGAAGAAGAAGAAUAUCCUACUCUUUUUCUCUAUCCAUCUUGUUGAUUGACACCAAAUAGUACUUGUAGUAUGCGAAAAAUUUCUCGGAGAUAGGAAAUGUACCAAUUAACAUUAACAUGACACUAGUAUCCAAAGGCUAGAACAUCACUAUGUAUGUACUUGAGAAGUCACAUUAACAACUUAUCUAAUGCUAAAGUGUGAGAAGAAACAAUGGAAGAAUACAAUUGGGAAAUGUAGAGAACUCUACAAAUUUGUUCCCCAAAUGUUAUUUCACAUUGUUGCAUUAAUAAUUGAUUUUCCAGCCUCUUUCUUCAUUUUCAUUGAUUUUUCACUCUCUUGAAACUACACGAACACUUGUUGCAUAUAGUAGAUCAUGAAAGGUGUUGGAUAAGAGCAGGAAGAAUAGGGAGAACAAGUAUUUUUUUUCUUUUUUUUGACUAAGAUCUUCUGAUAAGAUAGAAGCUGAGGAAAACGAGUACCAUAUCGAAGAAAAACUAAUGCAAUAUAGAAGGGCCAGUAUUGGUUACAAGAGACGGUUAGUAAAACGCAAACAAUACUAUAAAAAAUUUCUCAGUACAAGCAACCAUCUGAAAAGAAGAGGUUUGUUUUCUCCAGUAUGCUGAUUGCAGCUCCAAACAAAGGACUUUGGCAGAUUAGAGGGAGACUAGGUUGUUUACAUACGGAAAGCAUCGAUAAUGAAUGCAAGCUUCACUGCUCAGCAAUUUUGUUGCACAGGAAUUGAAAUCGUAUGGAACGUUCUUUAUGCACAAUCCGCCUCCAUUAUAUCACUCUCAACAUGUAAAAUUGAUUAGCUCCUUCCUACAUCCCCGACAAUUUUACUCUCUGUUUCUCUGACCACAUUCUGAUUUGGCUUUUCAUUUGCAUUGUAUUUGAGUGGGCAUUAACCAAAAUGUUUAACCUUAUUAUAUUACCAGUUACAUCAACCUUACAAAGCUUUCCACUAAAAGCCCCCAAGAAGCCAUGAGUGUCGUUGCCUUGAAGGAGCGGUGACCUCUCCUUUGGUUAGAUCAAAAUCAAGAAUAUUACCAGUUGUCAUCCAGUAAAUAAUGCCAUUCACAUGGACCCCUGAUUUUGGCAAUACUUUCUAGCUCCAAUAUAAUUUUGUACUCUGCUAUAAAGUUGAGCAACGGUGGUUCAAAUAAGAGCACAAUUGUUGGAUUUGAUCCAUGAUUAGCAUUUGAUUUUUGUUCUUAGAUUACAUGAACUGACAUUCAUUCUCUGUACUAACUCUAACUUGUUAGUAUUGUGGUUCUUAGAAUAGAAACUAAUUCAUGACACCUAUAGCUUUAACUUUAUAAUUUGACUCAGUGUUUUAAGUGGAAUCAGUGGUUUACAUUUCUAUCAAUGAAACAACAGUUCAGUAAAAUGUCCCACCAUUUUUAUUUGAUUGAUAUAAUACUUUGCUUUAUGACUUGAUAUUUUCUUUGGCAGGUAGAUAUAAUCAUUUUUAAUUUCUGAUUCUGAUACUUCUCCUAUUUUAUCUAAUGUUGCAGAAAAUGAAAGGAACUGGCAGAGGACGAGGACAAGGUAAAAGUGGAAGAGAUGGUGUAGGAAGUGGAUGUGGUAAUUUUUUAGAACACAAAAGUUUAUGAACUACGUCUCAACCACAAAUAUAACCAAUAAGAGUUGUUGAAAUAUCAUUAGAGACUGGACAAUAACCUAACCCAAUUCAAGGACGUCUAUAGGCAGAACAAAUAUCAAGUGCCCCUCUCCAAAGAACAUCUCCCCAGAUAUGAUCAUCAAGAAAUCUAGAAGAAAGUAUGCAACCCUCCCUAGAGGUUGAAACUGGUAUAGGUUAGUUCACGUCCCUCCCUUGUAGGAAACGAUUGAUUAAUGCUUUGCUGGUUUAUUCAUCUUGACAUUUUGGAAUAUUAGAAAGAUUUUGCACCCUCUAUUUAUUGAAACUUUUUGCAUUUGUUAGAGGAAAUCUGUUGGGUUUUUCUUUGAUAGCUGUUAUCAUCAUUAUAAUUUGAUCAACAAGAAUUGCUUUUGAUAGCAACAACUAUGAUAGCAGUGAAAACUUUGUUUGCUGCCAUCACUGCCUUGUUCACUUGAUCAUCUACCCUAUGUAUGAUAAUUGCAUUCUAUGCUUCCUUUCUACCAACCUGCAUAAAAAAAGCCAGAUCAUGACAAGUUAAUGUUUGAGCAGUUGCAUAUGUUUCAAUAUAAGUAGAUAUACUUAAUUGCAAGGUGCAGUCUGAGGGUAUUAAAUGAGAAAUCAACGACUAUAUGAAUUAUAUGAAUCUUCACUGAACAUGUUGGACUAAAAAUAAAUUUUACCUGAACGGCUCGAAGAACUACAUUAGUAAGUGGGGGAAAUGGAGUAUUGAGAUUGCCAGAGGCCCCAUUUACCGCACCUUAUGUCACCAUUUCUAAAUUUAUAAAUUUCGUAACCUUUUUAUUACCUUUAUGCCAUGACCUUCCAUAGCAGUGCUUGUUGGCAAAGUGAUAGCAAACAUAGAGGCUAGUGUGUCUUCAACAACGAAAAGUAUGCGUCAAUAGGUGCAAGUUGAUAUGAACCGAAAGUUGCAAGAAGAACGUGAACAAAUGACUGCCGAUUUAAAAAGGAAUAUGGAAGAAGAUUUGCAAAAACAAUUGGAAGGGAACAUGAACACAUGAAAGGUGAAGUAGACAAGAUGUUCCAAGAACAAAUGGCCGCUGUCAUGACUAGAAUUCAACAGGUACUUUAUCUUUUUCCUUCCUAACAAUUCUAUUCAGUUCUUUGAAAGUUUAGAGUUGUUGGUGCAUCAGUUGAUAUUGGUGGUGCCAUAAUUACGUAGUGUCAUUUGUGUUAUUGAGCCAGUCCAUUUGAGAAUUGAUGUAGAUUUGGAUUAAUUUCAAUGUCUUCUCUGGAAUUGAGUUGUUAUGUGAUGAUUGCUUUGCCGCAUAAAGAUCAAAACUAAUUUCAUUAGCAUUAGGAUAUAUAUUGUGGGGAGCAACUUGUUUUAUUCUUUUGUCAAGCUGCUGAGUUGCAUAAGCUCGAAAAAUAAAAUGGAAAUUGGGUGUUGCAAGGAUGUAGUGAAAAUUAUAGCAAAACAUAAGGAUACUUUUGGUUAAAAAACUCUUAGAUCCUUCCCAAUUCUCUGUUAUGUUGUGAGGAUCAGAGAAAAUUGCUUCUUCCUAAGCAUGUAAUGCAAUGUAAGCAUUCUUAGCCUAAAAUUCUCAAAAGAAAGUGAUGGAUUGAUGGCAAUAAUAUAUCACCACCAACAAACACAAAAGACUAAUUACAUGUAGAAGCAAACAAAAUCCCCUGAAGCUGGCAAUCUCAUUGUACAACUUUUGUAUCAAAUGCCUAUAGCUACGAGUUCCCUUUGUACAUUUCAAUUGAUUCAAUCUUUUUGGAGAUGAAUUAUGCAAAUAGGACACAAAUAUUUUUUCCAUACGUUUUAUGAGAAGGUCCCUAAAGAGAAUAGAUGCUAUAUUGUCACUGAUUCCAGUGCAUGAGGGAGGCAACAAUGACAUUUAAUUUCUAUACCACAUCCAAAUCGUCCAAAUUUGUUUGUCUUUGCAUCUAUGGGUAAUUUAUUAUAAUAUAGAGCCCUUCAAGUGAUGACUACUUGCUUGUUAGGGACCAUUUUAGCCAAACUUUUAGGUUUUUUCAGUUGCAUCCUUCUUAACUCUUAUUUGGUCCCAUAUUGAUGCUAUUGAGGAAGUACCAUUGUUAACGUUUUACUAAGUUUUCUUCAAUAGCCCCCGGAAAAGUGUACUCUAAUGUGCUCUAUAUCACCCCUUUUAUUAUGAGAAUUAGAGAUUGAUUGUGUGUUUUUCUAAUUACAGGGACAAGUUUAUUAAACAAGGGGCCAAUCAAGAAGAAGGUUGAAGGCGUACACUGGAAGUUUUUGCUUUUUGACCAUAAAUAUAUAUACAAUGGAAGUAUUUUUGGUUUUGGUUAUAUAUAUAUAUAUAUAACAACUGAAGUACUACUAUGCAGUUGAAUUUUUGGUAUUUAUAAUAUUUGACUUAAGAAUGCUUUUGUAUUAAUUUUGUGAAAUACUUUUAGAUGUUUUUAAUAGCUAUAUAUUAAUUUUAG
rnacentral:lncRNA from 1 species